rnacentral:rRNA from 1 species
UACGGAGGGGGCUAGCGUUGUUCGGAAUUACUGGGCGUAAAGCGCACGUAGGCGGAUCGUUAAGUCGGGGGUGAAAUCCUGGAGCUCAACUCCAGAACUGCCUUCGAUACUGGCGAUCUUGAGUCCGGAAGAGGUGAGUGGAACUCCUAGUGUAGAGGUGGAAUUCGUAGAUAUUAGGAAGAACACCAGUGGCGAAGGCGGCUCACUGGUCCGGUACUGACGCUGAGGCACGAAAGCGUGGGGAGCAAACAGG